GACGGAGGGGGCUAGCGUUGUUCGGAAUUACUGGGCGUAAAGAGCGCGUAGGCGGCUCGGCAAGUUGGAUGUGAAAGCCCGGGGCUUAACCUCGGAACUGCAUUCAAAACUGCUGGGCUAGAGUAUGGUAGGGGAUGAUGGAAUUCCUAGUGUAGAGGUGAAAUUCUUAGAUAUUAGGAGGAACACCGGUGGCGAAGGCGGUCAUCUGGGCCAUUACUGACGCUGAGGCGCGAAAGCGUGGGGAGCAAACAGGAUUAGAUACCCUGGUAGUCCACGCCCUAAACGAUGAGUGCUAGAUAUCGGGGACAUAGUCUUCGGUUUCGCAGCUAACGCAUUAAGCACUCCGCCUGGGGAGUACGGUCGCAAGAUUA
rnacentral:rRNA from 1 species